rnacentral:rRNA from 1 species
CCUACGGGGGGCAGCCGUAGGGGAUCUUCCACAGUUUGUGAAGGCCUGAUGGAGCAACGCCGCGUGGGUGAAGAAGGUCUUCGGAUCGUAAAACCCUGUUGUUAGAGAAGAAAGUGCGUGAGAGUAACUGUUCACGUUUCGACGGUAUCUAACCAGAAAGCCACGGCUAACUACGUGCCAGCAGCCGCGGUAUUACGUAGGUGGCAAGCGUUAUCCGGAUUUAUUGGGCGUAA